rnacentral:rRNA from 1 species
AACGAACGCUGGCGGCAGGCCUAACACAUGCAAGUCAAACGGCUCUUUUAGAGCAGUGGCGCACGGGUGAGUAACGCGUGGGAAUGUACCUUUUAGUUCGGAAUAGCCUCGGGAAACUGGGAUUAAUACCGUAUACGCCCUUCGGGGGAAAGAUUUAUCGCUAAAAGAUCAGCCCGCGUGACAUUAGCUAGAUGGUGGGGUAAUGGCCUACCAUGGCGACGAUGUCUAGCUGGUCUGAGAGGAUGAUCAGCCACACUGGAACUGAGACACGGUCCAGACUCCUACGGGAGGCAGCAGUGAGGAAUAUUGGGCAAUGGGCGAAAGCCUGACCCAGCCAUGCCGCGUGUGUGAUGAAGGCCUUAGGGUUGUAAAGCACUUUCAACGGUGAAGAUAAUGACGGUAACCGUAGAAGAAGCCCCGGCUAACUUCG